rnacentral:rRNA from 1 species
AACGAACGCUGGCGGCGUGGAUAAGACAUGCAAGUCGGACGCUGAUUGCCGGGUAGCAAUAUUCGGCGGUCGGAGUGGCGAAAGGGUGCGUAACACGUGGGCAAUCUGCCGUGAAGUCGGGGAUAACUUGCUGAAAGGCGAGCUAAUACCGGAUGUGGUUUUGGGAGGGCAUCUUUCUGGAACCAAAGUUGGGGACCGCAAGGCCUGACGCUUCAUGAUGAGCCCGCGGCCUAUCAGCUAGUUGGUGAGGUAAUGGCUCACCAAGGCAAAGACGGGUAGCUGGUCUGAGAGGACGACCAGCCACACUGGAACUGAGACACGGUCCAGACACCUACGGGUGGCAGCAGUCGAGAAUUUUUCACAAUGGGCGGAAGCCUGAUGGAGCGACGCCGCGUGGGGGAUGAAUGGCUUCGGCCCGUAAACCCCUGUCAUUUGCCAACAACCUUUCCACCCAACACGUGGAGAGCUGAUUGUAGCGAAAGAGGAAGGGACGGCUAACUC